GCCUGAGUGGCUCAGUUGGUUAAGCAUCUGGCUUCAGCUCAGGUCAUGAUCCCAGGGUCUUAGGAUCGAGUCCUGUUUUGGGCA
rnacentral:tRNA from 1 species